GAAUUUUGGACAAUGGGGGCAACCCAGUUCCAGCCAUCCCGCGUGUGCGCUGAAGGCCUUCGGGUUGUAUAGCACUUUUGGCAGGGAAGAAAAGGCUCUGGCUAAUAACUGGAGCUGCUUACGGUCACUCCAGAAUCAGCUCCGACUGACUACAUGCCUGCGGCCGAGGUAAUACGUAUGGUGCAAGCGGUAAUCGGAAUUACUGGGCGUAAAGCGUGCGCAGGCGGUUCGGCAAGAAGGAUGUGAAAUCCCAGGGCUUAACCUUGGAACUGCAUUCUUAACUGCCGUGCUAGAGUAUGUCAGAGGGGGGUAGAAUUCCGCGUGUAGCAGUGAAAUGCGUAGAGAUGCGGAGGAAUACCGAUGGCGAAGGCAGCCCCCUGGGAUAAUACUGACGCUCAUGCACGAAAGCGUGGGGAGCAAAC
rnacentral:rRNA from 1 species